rnacentral:tRNA from 1 species
GGGGUAUAGCCAAGUGGUAAGGCAACGGACUUUGACUCCGUUAUGCGACGGUCCGAUUCCGUCUACCC